UGAGUAAAUCAGACGGUCGCGAGUACAGUACCGAAAGGUCGUACUUGAGGAAAGUCCGAGCUCCAUAGGGCAGGGUGCUGGGUAAUACCCAGUGGAGGCGACUCUAAGGAAAGUGCAACAGAAAUAAACCGCCAGUUUUACUGGUAAGGAUGGAAAGGUGAGGUAAGAGCUCACCGCUCCUUAGGUGACUAAGGAGGCUCUGUAAACCCCACCCGGAGCAAAACCGUAUAGGGGAACAUAUGCGGUGGCCCGCCGUGUUCCCGGGUAGGUUGCUUGAGCGUAUAGGCAACUAUACGUCGAGAUAGAUGACCGUUUAAUACAGAACUCGGCUUAUAGAUUUGCUCACUUA
rnacentral:RNase_P_RNA from 2 species